ensembl:lncRNA
CUCCAGGAGUCACAUCUCACCCUGUUCUCCCCCAGGUUUUGUGCCUGCAUCUUGUCUGGCCGAGAAAUGCAUCGUCAGUGUUUGUUAGAUGGAGCCUAGUGCAAGCCAAAGGAUGUCAUGCAGGAAAGCUGAAGUAGUGCACAGGGGACAGCUGGUUCAGCUUUUUAAAGCUAUUUUAUUCUCCUUAUGAUGCUUGCAUUAUGGUGUAUGGCUGUUAUGAGCAUACAGCCUGCAGACACGCGUGAUCUGCCCUGGGACCUUCA